UGAAUUCCUCUUGCCUAAAUUUAUUGG
rnacentral:piRNA from 1 species